UCUUCCCCUGUUUUAUUAGAGGUUGAAAAAGGUUCAAGACCUGGUUGUACCACUGCUCCCACCGACAGCUAAGGAACCAGUUUGGCGUCUGGUUUGUCUGUUGUUUUACUGCUGACCUUCAAAUCAACUUUAACCCCUGACCCCUGGAGACAUCUAUCAUGACAAGAGGCUGUUUAACACAAAUGGUGCCCAUUUAUAGGGGAAGAGAGUCAGAAGAUUUCCUUUUUAUGAAGAAUUUGGUUUUUCACCCCUCUUUUCUCAGUCACCACAGGUGAAAUCCCUCCUAGCAGCUGGCUUAUGAAAUAAUGUGAGGGGAGGCCUUAAUGAGCUGAAAGCACCCUCAGCUGGAGAUAAAUAUAUGCAAAUGAGAUGCACAAACAAAGGAGCCUGGACAGAGAAAUAUCUGCAAUUCCAGCAAAAUGCUGCCUGCAGCUAGAAGAUGAACAGCUUUGAUAAAAUGAAUACUGAUCUUCAAAACUAGGAGGGAAAUGAGGGGUUUAAAAAAAACUGUACAAAUGAACCAACUCUCUUUCCUGACACAUACCCUUUUCUGACAAAAAGAAUUUCAGCAAGCUUAAGCCACUGCCUGUUGGGGAAGGAUGAUAAAGCAACAAUUAAAUGGUUUAGAGAAUUGUAACCAACAUCCUUCCAAGAUGGAUCAAGGACACAAAGUAUUAAUGAAUGGCAGUUUGCAUGCAUUGCAUUUUAGGAACACACUGCACAAACUACUUAGAACUUGAAACGGGGAUGCAAUCCCAGAUUAUAUUUUUUUAAAUCAUAUGGUACUGCAAGAAUGAAAAAGUGUUAAAAAAAAAAAAAAAGCCUGCAAAUAAUUUAUAAACAUCAACCACUCAUUGCCACUCUUACCUUUUUGCUUCUAUUGCCUUGUCUUUUGUUGACCUUAAACCAAUGGCAUUAGUCCUGAAAAAUGAUUAUUGGCUUUAUUAAACCAAAUGUGCAGAUUUUUUAAAAUAUUUUUUAAACCAAAGCAUCUUACUAUUAAAACAUACAUCCAAUAAAAGAAAAGUAAAAUAUCAACAAGGCACACUUCUCUGUGCCUACCGCUACAAACACAAGCUAAAAUAACAGACUGAGCCAGUGAUUUUUAUACCACAGGAGCAAAAUUUCUCAGCACUGUAGUAGUUUUAUUUUCACAACUGAAUGAAUUGUGCUAUAUUAUAGUAACUGGGCUUUAUAAUCUUGCUGCUUUUUCCUGGCUUGACUAUAACAUUUCAGUAGCUAUAAUCACACUAUAGCACUUCGAUAAAGCACUACACUUUACAUAGCCAUACAUACUUAACCCAACAUGCAGCAAGUUAAAUAAUCAUUAGCACAGUAACCCAUUGCUAUCAAAAACUUAUUGGUCCUCUAAAUUUUAAAUUAAUGGCCUGUCUUCCUAGCUGUGUGCAUCUGGUUUUGAACUGCUUCAGUAUGAAGUCAUGGAUAUAUUAUCAGUACACGUUAGACAAUUUUUAUUAUUGGCAUUUCAAGAUUAAAAAGCCACAAAAGCGAAUGGUUGUUGCUGAAUUGUUCUAUCCCUAGACCUCUGAGUCUAAAACAAACCAGUCUGAGUGCUAAUUAUCAGCCGAUAUUUGACAAACCAACUAUAGUGUUCAUGUCAUAAGCAUAGAGUCAGGUUAUCAUGCCUAAAAAAAAAUUCCACAAAGCUAAGCAAAUGGGUGAAAAAAAGUUAAAGAUGCAUAAAAUCUCAGCUAAAGGAGGCUGAAUAAUACACCCAAAUUUUUUGAGAAUUUAGGAUGCUUUUCCCCUU